AAUGCACGCGAGUGCGAUAGGGGGACUCCGAGUGCGUUCUUCCCACAAGGAAGGACGCUUUUCUGCACUGUAAGGAGGUGCAGGAACAAGGGGUGGGCAAGACUGCUGCCAGCCGCCGCGGUAAUAGCAGCACCCCGAGUGGUAGUCGUUAUUAUUGGGCUUAAAGUGUACGUAGCCGGACCUGUAAGUCCGUUGUGAAAUCCACGCGCUUAACGCAGUGGAAGCGCAACGGAUACUACAGGUCUAGGGACCGGAGGACGCCGAGGCUAUUCCAUGGGUAGGAGUGAAAUCCCAAGAUCCAUGGAGGAGCACCAGUGGCGAAAGCGCUCGGCGACUACGGAUCCGACGGUGAGGUACGAAAGCCAGGGGAGCAAAGCGGAUUAGAUACCCGCGUAGUCCUGGCCGUCAACAUUGUCCGCUCGACAUGGCCCAACCCUUGAGGUUUGGCUGUGUCCAAGUGAAAACGUUAAGCGGACCGCCUGGGUAGUACGGUCGCAAGGCUGAAACUUAAAGGAAUUGGCGGGGGAGCACGGUCAU
rnacentral:rRNA from 1 species